CGCGUAGGCGGCCUGUUAAGUCAGAUGUGAAAGCCCUGGGCUCAACCUGGGAACGGCAUUUGAUACUGGUGGGCUGGAGUCUGGUAGAGGGGGGUGGAAUUCCAGGUGUAGCGGUGAAAUGCGUAGAGAUCUGGAGGAACAUCCGUGGCGAAGGCGGCCCCCUGGACCGAGACUGACGCUGAGGUGCGAAAGCGUGGGGAGCAAACA
rnacentral:rRNA from 1 species